rnacentral:rRNA from 1 species
UUUUCGCGAUGGACCAUUCAAGUUUCUGACCCAUCAGCUUGACGGUAGGGUAUUGGCCUACCGAGGCAGCAACGGGUAACGGGGAAUUAGGGUUCGAUUCCGGAGAGGGAGCCUGAGAGACGGCUACCACAUCUAAGGAAGGCAGCAGGCGCGCAAAUUACCCAAUCCCGACACGGGGAGGUAGUGACAAGAAAUAACAAUACAGGGUUAAUGUCUUGUAAUUGGAAUGAUGGUGACUUAAACCCUCACCAGAGUAGCAAUUGGAGGGCAAGUCUGGUGCCAGA